rnacentral:misc_RNA from 1 species
AACUGAUACUACCUGCGGGAACCUGCGGAAGGAUCAUUACUGAAGUGAUUUGGGGAUGUUGCUGGCCCUCUCUCAAGGGGGGGCACUGUGCACUCCUCGAAACAAUUCACAAUUUCCAUCACACCCCCUGUGCACACCUUGUAGGCACCCAAACCCACCUCCGGGUGGUGGGGUCCUAUGUAUUCCUUCAUCUCACACUCUGUUGAAUGGUGCCAUGGGACGCAUCUAAAGGAUUAUUUG